rnacentral:rRNA from 1 species
CUACGGGCGGCUGCAGUGAGGAAUAUUGCACAAUGGGGGGAACCCUGAUGCAGCAACGCCGCGUGGAGGAUGACGCAUUUCGGUGUGUAAACUCCUUUUAUAUGCCAAGAAAAUGACGAUAGCAUAUGAAUAAGCACCGGCUAACUCCGUGCCAGCAGCCGCGGUAAUACGGAGGGUGCAAGCGUUACUCGGAAUCACUGGGCGUAAAGGACGCGUAGGCGGGUUGGAAAGUCAGGUGUGAAAUCCUACAGCUUAACUGUAGAACUGCACUUGAAACUUCUAAUCUAGAGUAUGGGAGGGGGAGAUGGAAUUAGUGGUGUAGGGGUAAAAUCCGUAGAUAUCACUAGGAAUACCUAAAGCGAAGGCGAUCUCCUGGAACAUUACUGACGCUAAGGCGUGAAAGCGUGGGGAGCAAACAGGAUUAGAUACCCGAGUAGUC